UGGUGGAGAUGGUGAUAAUAGUAGUGGUGGUGGUGGUGGUGGAGAUAGUGAUAAUAGUAGUGGUGGUGGUGGUGGUGGUGAUAGUGAUAAUAGUAGUGGUGGUGGUGGUGGUGGAGAUAGUGAUAAUAGUAGUGGUGGUGGUGAUGGUGGAGAUGGUGAUAAUAGUAGUGGUGGUGGUGGUGGUGGUAAUAGUGAUAAUAGUAGUGGUGGUGGUGGUGGUGGAGAUGGUGAUAAUAGUAGUGGUGGUGGUGAUGGUGGUGGUGGAGAUAGUGAUAAUAGUAGUGGUGGUGGUGAUGGUAGUGGUGGUGAUGGUGGUGGUGGUGGUGGUGGAGAUGGUGAUAAUAGUAGUGGUGGUGGUGAUGGUAGUGGUGGUGGUAGUGGUGGUGGUGGUGGAGAUAGUGAUAAUAGUAGUGGUGGUGGUGAUGGUAGUGGUGGUGGUGGUGGAGAUGGUAGUAGAAAUGGUGGUAAUAGUGGUAUUGGUGGUGGUGAUGGUAGUGGUGGUGGUGGUGAUGGUAGUGGUGGUGGUGGUGAUGGUAGUGGAGAUGGUGAUAAUGGUAGUGGUGGUG